GAGUUUGAUCUUGGCUCAGAUUGAACGCUGGCGGCAUGCCUUACACAUGCAAGUCGAACGGCAGCACGGAAGCUUGCUCCUGGUGGCGAGUGGCGAACGGGUGAGUAAUGCAUCGGAACGUAUCCUGGAGUGGGGAUAACGUAGCGAAAGUUACGCUAAUACCGCAUAUUCUGUGAGCAGGAAAGCGGGGGACCUUCGGGCCUCGCGCUCUUGGAGCGGCCGAUGUCGGAUUAGCUAGUUGGUGAGGUAAAGGCUCACCAAGGCGACGAUCCGUAGCAGGUCUGAGAGGAUGAUCUGCCACACUGGAACUGAGACACGGUCCAGACUCCUACGGGAGGCAGCAGUGGGGAAUUUUGGACAAUGGGGGCAACCCUGAUCCAGCCAUGCCGCGUAAGUGAAGAAGGCUC
rnacentral:rRNA from 1 species